CAACACCGACUCCUACACAAACUCAGAGUAAGCCAAAAAAAACAAAACAUUUAUCUACUGAAUCCGUCUGGCUAAGCGGGAACGUGAUUGCAGUCGAUUGAAAACUAGAAUGAACAUCGACAGGGCAUUUGAUAUCUGGAGGGACCUUCUUUUGGUUUUGGGGAUCAAAACUUAUUGGACAGCUAACUGGCCUACAGAGAAUCUACCAAAGCCCAAGGAGUGAUGAAAAGUAGAGAAGAAAAGUGGAUGGGGAGACAGAGAAUAAGAUAUACAGUAAAUAAGGUUGCCCAUUGCGAUCAUAGAGUGCCAGCACGAAAUGGAAGAAGUUUGACUUUCUGAGGUUGGAGGGAGGCUGCUUUUCAAAGUGAGCUCGGGAUAAGGCCACUCCACUGUGGAUGAGGGGUUUUGGAGAAUAAACAGUAGACGGUUUAUAUUUUUACACACUGCUUUCACAAUUUGCAUACUGUAGCUUGACCACUCACUCAACAUUGCCUUCAAUACAAUUCUUAAUUCAAAUCCUUCCACACACACUGAAAUCUCUUGCUGUCAUAUAGCUCCAGAUUUGUUAGUUGUUAGUGGUCUCAUUUGCGCACAAAACGCAUGAUUUUGAACCACAUUUGUAUUUUAGAAUUGGAUAGUUCUGUGAUGCAUGAAUUCACAUAUUCACCUGUUUGCAUUAAUAAUGUAGUAAUAGAAAACUAAGGUGAUAAAAAAUAUCUUAAAGUU